rnacentral:rRNA from 1 species
AUUGAACGCUGGCGGCAGGCCUAACACAUGCAAGUCGAACGAGUGGCGGACGGGUGAGUAAUGUCUGGGCAACUGCCUGAUGGAGGGGGAUAACUACUGGAAACGGUAGCUAAUACCGCAUACCAUCGGAUGUGCCCAGAUGGGAUUAGCUAGUAGGUGGGGUAACGGCUCACCUAGGCGACGAUCCCUAGCUGGUCUGAGAGGAUGACCAGCCACACUGGAACUGGGACACGGUCCAGACUCCUACGGGAGGCAGCAGGGGGGAAUAUUGCACAAUGGGCGCAAGCCUGAUGCAGCCAUGCCGCGUGUAUGAAGAAGGCCUUCGGGUUGUAAAGUACUUUCAGCGGGGAGGCGUUACCCGAAGAAGAAGCACCGGCUAACUCCGUGCCAGCAGCCGCGGUAAUAC